rnacentral:tRNA from 1 species
GGCUCGUUGGUCUAGGGGUAUCAUUCUUGCUUAGGGUGCGAGAGGUUCGCUCGGGUUCAAAUCCCGGACGAGCCC